rnacentral:rRNA from 1 species
GGCUAAAGAUUGUCCGUGGCUUAGGGAAACCGAUAAGUAUCCCACCUGGGGAGUACGCCGGCAACGGUGAAACUCAAAGGAAUUGACGGGGGCCCGCACAAGUGGUGGAGCAUGUGGUUUAAUUCGAUGAUACGCGAGGAACCUUACCUAGGCUAGAAUGCGCGUGACCGGCUCAGAGAUGAGCUUUUCCUUCGGGACACAAAGCAAGGUGCUGCAUGGCCGUCGUCAGCUCGUGCCGUGAGGUGUUGGGUUAAGUCCCGCAACGAGCGCAACCCCUAUGGUUAGUUGCCAGCACGUAAUGGUGGGGACUCUAGCCAGACUGCCUGCGCAAGCAGUGAGGAAGGCGGGGACGACGUCAGGUCAUCAUGGCCCUUACGCCUAGGGCGACACACGUGCUACAAUGGACGGUACAGCGGGUAGCUACUGGGCGACCAGAUGCCAAUCUCGAAAAGCCGUUCUCAGUUCGGAUCGGAGUCUGCAACUCGACUCCGUGAAGCUGGAAUCACUAGUAAUCGCGCAUCAGCCAUGGCGCGGUGAAUACGUUCCCGGGCCUUGUACACACCGCCCGUCAAGCCAUGAAAGUCUGGUAGACCUGAAGCUGGUGCUCGUCACAGAAGCCAGUUAGGGUAGAAC